AUUGAACGCUGGCGGCAUGCCUUACACAUGCAAGUCGAACGGCAGCACGGGUGCUUGCCCCUGGUGGCGAGUGGCGAACGGGGGAGUAAUACAUCGGAACAUGUCCUGUAGUGGGGGAUAGCCCGGCGAAAGCCGGAUUAAUACCGCAUACGAUCUACGGAUGAAAGCGGGGGCCCUUCGGGCCUCGCGCUUUAGGGUUGGCUCGUGGCUGAUUAGCUAGUUGGUGGGGUAAAGGCCUACCAAGGCGACGAUCAGUAGCUGGUCUGAGAGGACGACCAGCCACACUGGAACUGAGACACGGCCCAGACUCCUACGGGAGGCAGCAGUGGGGAAUUUUGGACAAUGGGCGAAAGCCUGAUCCAGCAAUGCCGCGUGUGUGAAGAAGGCCUUCGGGUUGUAAAGCACUUUUGUCCGGAAAGAAAUCCUUGGCCCUAAUACGGUCGGGGGAUGACGGUACCGGAAGAAUAAGCACCGGCUAACUACGUG
rnacentral:rRNA from 1 species